GAGCUACUACCAAGACUGUUUGAGAAUCCC
rnacentral:piRNA from 1 species